rnacentral:rRNA from 1 species
UACGGGGGGAGCAAGCGUUGUUCGGAUUUACUGGGCGUAAAGGGCGGGUAGGCGGCCACCGCAAGUCGACUGUGAAAUCUCCGGGCUUAACCCGGAAAGGUCAGCCGAUACUGCGGGGCUAGAGUGCAGAAGGGGCAACUGGAAUUCUCGGUGGAGCGGUGAAAUGCGUUGAUAUCCACAGGAACUCCGGUGGCGAAGGCGGCACGCUGGAUCUCAUCUGACGCUGAGGCGCGAAAGCCAGGGGAGCGAACGGG